rnacentral:rRNA from 1 species
UACGUAGGCAGCAAGCGUUGUCCGGAAUCACUGGGCGUAAAGGGCGCGUAGGCGGCCUGAUAAGUAGGGGGUGAAAUCCUGCGGCUUAACCGCAGGGCUGCCUUCUAAACUGUCAGGCUCGAGCACAGUAGAGGCAGGUGGAAUUCCCGGUGUAGCGGUGGAAUGCGUAGAGAUCGGGAAGAACAUCAGUGGCGAAGGCGGCCUGCUGGGCUGUUGCUGACGCUGAGGCGCGACAGCGUGGGGAGCAAACAGG